rnacentral:rRNA from 1 species
AGGGAAUCUUCCACAAUGGACGCAAGUCUGAUGGAGCAACGCCGCGUGAGUGAAGAAGGCUUUCGGGUCGUAAAACUCUGUUAUUUGAAGAAGAACGUGUGUGACAGUAACUGGUCAUGCAGUGACGGUAUUCAAUCAGAAAGUCACGGCUAACUACGUGCCAGCAGCCGCGGUAAUACGUAGGUGGCAAGCGUUGUCCGGAUUUAUUGGGCGUAAAGCGAGUGCAGGCGGUCUUUUAAGUCUGAUGUGAAAGCCUUCGGCUUAACCGAAGAAGGGCAUCGGAAACUGGGAGACUUGAGUGCAGAAGAGGAGAGUGGAACUCCAUGUGUAGCGGUGAAAUGCGUAGAUAUAUGGAAGAACACCAGUGGCGAAGGCGGCUCUCUGGUCUGUAACUGACGCUGAGGCUCGAAAGCGUGGGUAGCAAAACAGGAUUAGAUACCCUGGUA